GAUGAACGCUGGCGGCGUGCCUAAUACAUGCAAGUCGAGCGAACAGACGAGGAGCUUGCUCCUCUGACGUUAGCGGCGGACGGGUGAGUAACACAUGGAUAACCUACCUAUAAGACUGGGAUAACUUCGGGAAACCGGAGCUAAUACCGGAUAAUAUAUUGAACCGCAUGGUUCAAUAGUGAAAGACGGUUUUGCUGUCACUUAUAGAUGGAUCCGCGCCGCAUUAGCUAGUUGGUAAGGUAACGGCUUACCAAGGCAACGAUGCGUAGCCGACCUGAGAGGGUGAUCGGCCACACUGGAACUGAGACACGGUCCAGACUCCUACGGGAGGCAGCAGUAGGGAAUCUUCCGCAAUGGGCGAAAGCCUGACGGAGCAACGCCGCGUGAGUGAUGAAGGUCUUCGGAUCGUAAAACUCUGUUAUUAGGGAAGAACAAAUGUGUAAGUAACUAUGCACGUCUUGACGGUACCGAAUCAGAAAGCCACGGCGAACUACGG
rnacentral:rRNA from 1 species